rnacentral:rRNA from 1 species
AGUGGCGGACGGGUGAGUAACGCGUGGGUAACCUGCCUCAUACAGGGGGAUAACAGUUAGAAAUGACUGCUAAUACCGCAUAAGACCACAGCACCGCAUGGUGCAGGGGUAAAAACUCCGGUGGUAUGAGAUGGACCCGCGUCUGAUUAGGUAGUUGGUGGGGUAACGGCCUACCAAGCCGACGAUCAGUAGCCGACCUGAGAGGGUGACCGGCCACAUUGGGACUGAGACCCGGCCCAA